AGUACUACCCGCCUCUGCUAUGGAAAAAACUAAAAAACUGGUAUAAAGCAUAGACCAUAAUAUAGACCAGUUCACAAUGUUUUCUGCGCAUGCGCGGGGUCAAAGGUGAAGGCCCCAUCAACUGAGGCCAGUCACUUUCUGGUUUCGCGGCCCUACGGGAAAUUAGCUCUCGUUUUUUCAAGAAUGUUGCUUAAUUUGCCCACUUUUCUUUCGCUGAUGCGGAGGCAAUUGCAGUCACAGUCAGGUGGGCAGGCUGUGAGAAUGGGCUUUAAUUAUAUUAAUGUUUUCUACCUGGAAACAACGUAAGGGGCGCAGAUGUUGGACUGACUAGAGCCAAGGGAUACUAGCACUACGGCAGUGAGAUGGGUUGACAUAAUUGCUCAACACACCCACAGAUGUCUUCAAGUAAUGGCUCACUCAUUGUUGUACCGGUUAAUCAGCAAAGGCAAUGGAUGCAUCAUAUUCUGAUUAUAUUCCAACUUUGGGGUCACUUUGAAGAGAAGUGGAGAACACACAAAAAACAAAAUCACUUUUGAGAUGGAGUUGCAGAGCAUGAAGGCGAGGUCACAGCUGAAAGAUGAGCGAUGAAGAGAUGCAAACACCAUCGAGAAGACCUACACCAGCAAGUGGUGAAGACUGUGGACAACACGGUGUUGGAGAAAAUUGAAGUCGUACUUUUAAAUACAGGAUGACAUUUGUCAAAAUAAAAGAAGCUUAAAAAAUAUUUGUAAAGAGUUUUAUUCAUCUAAUUAUUUCAAAUGAAGCUCUGGAUGUAAUUCAAUGUUAAACGUAUACUUGUGGUAUUAAAUAUUUAAGUUGAAAGAUUCACCGAGAAAUUGAACUUAACACCUCUAAAACGAUGUGAUGUAUUUUUAAUUCCUGAUAAACCCAGUGUUGUAGCAGUGUCAGGGUCCUUUCAUUUAGCUGGCAGAGUUUUUGAUAUAAGUCUUCUCAUUGUUUGCUUCAAUGGAAAUGCUGUUUUUUCUUUUUUUGUACAGAGGCUUCUUGUGAGC
rnacentral:lncRNA from 1 species